rnacentral:rRNA from 1 species
GAUGAACGCUGGCGGCGUGCCUAAUACAUGCAAGUCGAGCGAACAGACGAGGAGCUUGCUCCUCUGACGUUAGCGGCGGACGGGUGAGUAACACGUGGAUAACCUACCUAUAAGACUGGGAUAACUUCGGGAAACCGGAGCUAAUACCGGAUAAUAUAUUGAACCGCAUGGUUCGAUAGUGAAAGACGGUUUUGCUGUCACUUAUAGAUGGAUCCGCGCCGCAUUAGCUAGUUGGUAAGGUAACGGCUUACCAAGGCAACGAUGCGUAGCCGACCUGAGAGGGUGAUCGGCCAGACUGGAACUGAGACACGGUCCAGACUCCUACGGGAGGCAGCAGUAGGGAAUCUUCCGCAAUGGGCGAAAGCCUGACGGAGCAACGCCGCGUGAGUGAUGAAGGUCUUCGGAUCGUAAAACUCUGUUAUUAGGGAAGAACAAAUGUGUAAGUAACUAUGCACGUCUUGACGGUACCUAAUCAGAAAGCCACGGCUAACUACGUG